rnacentral:rRNA from 1 species
UACGUAGGGUGCAAGCGUUGUCCGGAAUUAUUGGGCGUAAAGAGCUCGUAGGCGGUCUGUCGCGUCGGCUGUGAAAACCCGAGGCUCAACCUCGGGCCUGCAGUCGAUACGGGCAAACUAGAGUACUGCAGGGGAGACUGGAAUUCCCAGUGUAGAGAUGAAAUUCGUAGAUAUUGGGAAGAACACCGGUGGCGAAGGCGGCUCACUGGCUCGUAUCUGACGCUCAGGCGCGACAGCGUGGGGAUCAAACAGG